UUAGGUAAAUCAGCUCUAACUGGAACCCUAGGUUUUGAAUUUUUCUCGCUAGUGACACAAAUUCGUCAAUCCAAUCCAAAUUCUCGCUUCCGAAUAUGCAGAUCUCUCUUCCUUCAAAUGUAGGAUGAAUUCCAUCAAGCAAGAGAUUGAUAGACCAUCCAUGUUCUUUCCAAAGCUCAUCUUCUCUAGAAACUGAGAAUGGAUAUGCUUUAACACCCCAAAUCAACACCAUAUCCAUGGCAUUCAUGUUGACGAACCUCCCGUUAGAAUCGAUAACAACCAACAUUGCUUCGUUAUCUUUAUAAUGCCAUUCUUGUUUGAAAAAGUUGAGUAUUGUGGAGCUCAUCAACCAUGGUUGCCUUACUGAGAUCCAUGGUAAGGAAUUGGAGUAGAAAUCGAAGAUUUCUUUCUCUUCGUCUGUCCAUUUUUGGGAUGAUGGUAUUGGAACCCAUAUGAUCUCGUAGUUUUGUUCUGUGUUGGUGUUAGAUGGAUGAUCGUAUAGCUGUUGGAGUAGGAAGAAAAGUGGCUCUACUGGUGGCUUUGAUAAUAGCAGUAGUGUUACCUUAUCUUGUACCUCAGUUAUAGAUAUCUGCCAUUGGGUGAAUAAAGAAUAUUCAAUGCUAUUGCAAUUUUGCAAAGAUAAAAGAAUCGGUCUAUGUAUCGUCAUACGGAAUGUCGGAGCUCAUCUUUAUGUAAAGUUAAAGACGAGACAUGAAAGAAACAAUAAGAAGGAACAUGGAAAAAGAAAAAUAGAUAGUUCUUUAUACCUGUCUGGAGUAUUGUUGAAGUGGCAAAUCAUCUUGUAGAGAAAAAAAUAUAACAACAGAGGAGCAAUAUCAGAGAUCGAGUUUUGCUUUUAGUAGAAAGUUGUGAUUAUGGAACUUAACAUCAGAAGAUUUGAAAGUUACCUAUUUGUGUGCUGCAAUCUUCUACCUGCUUGUUGAGGCGGGUGUGUAUGUUCAGCAACUGAUAUCCCAAACUAGACAGUUCUCCUGCUGCUCUCCUUGAUUCAAUUGAAAGUUCCGCUGCUGUUUUCCUUGAUUUUUUUGCCUACGUAUUUCAGAGAAUUCCUAGUCAUGAGAAAACUCAAUGUUGACUGCUAAUAUGCUGGAAACAAUUUCUGUGUGUCUGGUUCUUCAUUUUGCAGAGAAGAUAUAAGAAGGGUGAAAAUUUGCACCUGCUGCGUUUGCUUGAAAUAAGGGAUCUGCUGCAUGCAUGUGAGUGCACUUUUGACAACCCGAUAAGUAGUCAGAUAGAUGUUAGACAAGGUUUCUCCCAAAAUGUUGUUGUCUAGCUUCGCUUGUUUAAAUGGAAUUUUUUCAAAUUUGAUGAUGCAUUUGGUUACAUCCACCAUGGCUUUAAUGAGCAAGUUUAGAGACUCUAACCACGGUCUGAACUUGGUUCUCUCAAUAGGCAACUGGUUGAGUUUUGCAAUUGAUGCUGCAACGGGAUCACAGAUGGCCAGAUGAACUGGUAGCAAUAGUCCUCCAUAUGUUGCGGCAAGGACUCCUAGUACUAACACAGCUUUUGCAUCCCAUCUGUAUUCCUUGAGAAGAUCAAACAAAACCAUUGUCCUUUUCCGGAUCUCAUUUUCCCCAGUACAUGGACAAAGCAUCUGCAACCUCAAGAGUUUCACAAUUUCGGGUCUUUCAGAAAGAGUUUAUUUGAGAAGAAAGGAUGAUCAGUUUACCUGAACGGAGAUUCUGAAGAUAGCGUAUGGUAGUGUUUCCUUUGAGUCAAAAACUUCAAUGGUGGUGAUACAAUUCUCUGUCAGAAGCGGUCUAGAAACCUGAAAGUUUAGUGGCAUUGUUAUUGGCCAGAAUCAAGACAACUCUUUGAAGAAUUGGACCCCAAGGGAUGGAUAUAGCUCACAUCAUUUUGCAGAACAAAGCUUAAGAUGGUUUCGACUUCUUGAAGCAGCAUUUCGGAAUCAAGCCAGCGACCGUCUGGAUCAUGGCUACGAAGUAGCUGCUCAACUAUGAUGUCUUCAUUCAGAGCAGAGAUGUCGCGUCGGAAAUUCAUGGUAAAUGGUUGUUGUUCUAAAAAGACUCUACUUUGAAUAUGUAUUUACUAAACACAAAACAGCUUUGUCUCUUUGGUUUGCGUGAUAAAAAUAUUAGUAGGGUCCCUGAAACUAAAGAUUG
rnacentral:lncRNA from 1 species